rnacentral:misc_RNA from 1 species
GACCUCGCCCAGGAAGAGGAGA